rnacentral:rRNA from 1 species
UGGGGAAUCUUGGACAAUGGGGGCAACCCUGAUCCAGCGACGCCGCGUGGGUGGUAAGGCCUUCGGGUUGUAAAGCCCUUUCGCCGGGGACGAUGAUGACGGUACCCGGAGAAGAAGCGCCGGCUAACUCCGUGCCAGCAGCCGCGGUAAUACGGAGGGGGCUAGCGUUGUUCGGAAUUACUGGGCGUAAAGCGCGCGUAGGCGGACUUUCAAGUCAGGGGUGAAAUCCCGAGGCUCAACCUCGGAACUGCCUUUGAUACUGAUGGUCUUGAGUCCGAGAGAGGUGAGUGGAAUUCCUAGUGUAGAGGUGAAAUUCGUAGAUAUUAGGAAGAACACCAGUGGCGAAGGCGGCUCACUGGCUCGGUACUGACGCUGAGGCGCGAAAGCGUGGGGAGCAAACAGGAUUAGAUACCCCGGUAGUCC